rnacentral:misc_RNA from 1 species
AAGUCGUAACAAGGUUUCCGUAGGUGAACCUGCGGAAGGAUCAUUACUGAGAACAUGCCCCUUUGGGGUAUAUAUCUCCCACCCUUUGUUUACAAUAUCUUUGUUGCUUUGGCAGGCCUGUCUUUAUGACCGCUGGCUUUGGCUGGUCUGUGCCUGCCAGAGGACCCAAAAAUUCUUUAUUAUGUUGUCUGAGUACUAUGUAAUAGUUAAAACUUUCAACAACGGAUCUCUUGGUUCUG